GGGGGAAGGUUUGGUAUUUUUUCUUUGUUGUUUUUGUUUUUAUUCUGUGAUGAUGUCGGGGACUCUCCAGGGACAUGUGUCACAGAGCUAUACGGAGAAGGGGGAGGUGAGGGCAGGGAGGUGGGAAAUUUGAUUCUGUCCCUGACGUUAUAGGGCAGAACAGCGGGGAGGAGGAGUGUCGGUCAGUGGAUGGAAAAGGGGACCCCGCACUCAAAGGCCCCGUGGCCGUCAUGCCCUUCCUACCUCCUGCUCCGAGUCACCGUUGGGGCUUCACAGGACCAGGCCCUCCAGAGCUGUUCAGCAUGGUCAGGCCAGCAGGCGAGCUGUUUACUUGGAAUCCAAGUGCACAGAGGAGAGCAGAACAGAGCUAUUUUCCACGGCUGCUGAGAAAGGCUUGGCGUAGAGUCAGAGAGCCUGCAUUUCUAACAAGCUCCCAAGUGAUGCCCACGGACCACACCUUGAGUAGGAGCAAGUCUAUCUUUAAUGUCCACUUCACUCUAACCAGCAAGCUGAAUUCCAAGCUCCAGCAACUCAAUUUGUUUUUGUUUUGGUACCUGGCAAUAGUUGCAUAUUUCUGCCAAUAGACGUGAUUGCUUCUAAGUUCUUUCUUUUUCCUCCCUCUCUCACAAGAAUCAUUUAAAUUCUCACUUAUCGUUUGAAAUCUGACUCGAUCCUAUGAAGAUGAAUCAGAGAUCUUCCCUUCAAGGGCAGAAAAUGAAAGAUAAAGCCAGACUGUGAUGUGAGUUCAAGGAGGGGCAGAGGCCAUUUUUAUUGGGAGGGUUGGGAAAGACUCUAUGUAGCUGAUAAUCAGUUAACAAGUAUUGAGCUUCUGUGUCUGCUGGGCACUGUUGAAGUGCUUUACAUAGUUGUCUCAUUUAACCCUCAUAACAACCCCGUGGUAAGUACUGAGAAUGACCCUCAAGUUACACGUGAGGAAACUGAAGCUAGAAGAGAAACAGAGACUUUUCCAAGCAAGGAGCAGUGCUGGGCCUUGAACUCAGGUCUCUGUUGACUGCUAGUCCACACAGAAUGUGGGCAGUAUUUCAGCUGCAUGCUUGACCAGAUCUGACCAGAUCCAACCAGACUCAGCCAGAUCCAACCAGACCCAAGCACACCUGACCAGACUGGACCAGACCCAACCAGACCUGACCAGAGUCAACCAGACUCAACAGACCCAACCAGACAAGACCAGAUCUGACCAAACUCAAUCAGACCCAACCAGACCCAGCUUCUGGGCACCUAGUUGUUGUUGGUAGGGAAAGGGGUGGGAUGGGGUUUGCAUGAGUUUAGGCUGCUUAAGCAAUUUCUCCACUUACCUUCCAUAAUUCCUCAAUCAGAAAAGGGCAGGUGGUAACAGUUUUCCACACCCAGCCCCUGGGCCCAGGAACUCAGGGCCCUUGCACGGAGCCGGGCACCUGGCUUCACACUUUUUCUCACUUGGCUACCUGUCCCAGCAUAAAUCUCUGCUGCCUGCAUCUUUUUAUACUUGUAUCGUUUUCUUAUCUCCUGGAGAACAAGCAGCGUGUCCAGCUUGGUGACUGUUUUAUUUUCUUUUUAUAGGCUUGUCCCUUAGUCAGAGCCUAGAGUAUAACUCCCAAAAUAGUGCUGCAUAGAAGAUAGUCCGAGGCUACCAAGAUUGCUACAAAUUCUAAACUUCUCAGAUUCCACUAGGUUCUUAACCAAAAUGGUAGUCAGCAGCUCAACCCAAUAGUUUUUCCAACUUGGCUUCAUCCGUUUUGUCUCACUUUUAUGGGACUGGGGUGGGAGGGGGAGAAAGAAGGAAUGGAGACUUCCUUGUUCCCCUACCAGAUCUUGGGUCUUGUCUUUCCAUUUUUGGUAUCCCCAUUACAGGAUAUUAUGCAGAUAGAUGCAUAAUAAUGUUUGUCAGAUGAGCAAAUGAAGGCAACUUGGGUGUAUUUUCUUAUUACAUCGAACGCACGGCAGCACUGAUGGCUUCUCUUGCUUGGCCCUCAAGCAGGAGAGUCACCUAGCACAGGCUUUAGCUUGUGAAGGCCCCGGAACCCUGUGGGCACAGUUACUGGGAAAUCUUUCUCUUUCACCACAUCUUCUCAGGUUCUGCAACAACAGCUCAGGAAGGUGAGAUUUUCUUACAGGGCCCAAGUGCUUGAUAUGCCAGAUGAGUUGUAGAAUGCCAACCUUGAGAGCAAUCAGGAGAAGCCCAGUCCUACUUAGGCAGCCCUGGGAUUGUAGAAUGGAAGACCUGUGGAAGGAGGAGACUCCUCUGUUCUCUGCCUUCCGGAGAAAGGGUCAUCUUAUUGUAGUGGAUAUUCUUAAGAUCAUGGAUAUCUAACCUUGGCGGCUGGGGUGAGAAAUGUGAAGGGUUCAAUGCACGUGGAAGAAUUUCCCUUCUCCAGAUAGUUUUUGUCCUGUCAUUAAAAAAGAAAGAAAGAACAUACAAAGAAAAGAAAUUAAAGAUGUACCAAGGAGCUAAAUGUGCUCAAGAAUCAAAAGUAGCUUUGAGUUGGUCAACUGGACCCAGUCGGGGGAAUGUGCCCAUUUAUUCAACUUGUGUGCUUAAGUAAGAAAAUGUUGUCAGGCCAACGUCUGAAGACUUCCUCUUAUUUCUUGAGUCUUACAAGAAAUAAGCCAAUGAGAGGUAUGCCCCCACUGCUGAGGUGACUGUUCCAGCGGGAGAGGGUCCAGCAAGAGGGGCAGCAGUUAGGAGAGGCCCCCACAAAUUCUAGCUCUGGACACAGAUGGGUGUGCUGUUGGUGUCAUGUUAUUGCUGUAGACCCAACCCUCUUCCUCUGUCUUUCCCCGGGGGCCCGUGUGAUUAAUGCGUUUACAUCAUCUCCUCUGAAGGCAUCAUCCAUCCCAGGGGAAUAGAAACUGGUGAUUGGUGCUAUUUCUAUCCCCUCCUUCAAUAAAUAGCUGCUUUUCUUUAUUUA